rnacentral:rRNA from 1 species
GACGAACGCUGGCGGCGUGCUUAACACAUGCAAGUGGAGCGACGAACCGGUCUUCGGACCGGGGCAGAGCCGCGAACGGGUGAGUAACACGUGGGUAACCCACCCCGAUGACCGGGACAACCCGAGGAAACUCGGGCUAAUACCGGAUGAGCUCUCAUCUUUUGAGAGAUGUGAGGAAAGAUAGCCUCGGCCUUCGCAUCGGGACGGGCCCGCGGCCCAUUAGCUUGUUGGUGGGGUAACGGCCUACCAAGGCGACGAUGGUAGCUGGUCUGAGAGGACGAUCAGCCACACUGGGACUGAGACACGGCCCAGACUCCUACGGGAGGGCAGCAGUGGGGAAUCUUGCACAAUGCGCGAAAGCGUGAUGCAGCAACGCCGCGUGGGGGAAGAAGGCCUCGG